CCUACGGGUGGCAGCAGUGAGGAAUAUUGGUCAAUGGCCGCUGGGCUGAACCAGCCAAGUAGCGUGAGGGAUGACUGUCCUAUGGAUUGUAAACCUCUUUUGUCUGGGAGUAAAGUGCGCUAUGUAUAGUGCUUUGCGAGUACCUGAAGAAUAAGCAUCGGCUAACUCCGUGCCAGCAGCCGCGGUAAUACGGAGGAUGCGAGCGUUCUCCGGAUUUAUUGGGUUUAAAGGGUGCGGAGGCGGGUUGUUAAGUCAGUGGUAAAAGUUUGCGGGUUAACCGUAAAGUUGCAGUUGAAACUGGCGUCCUUGAGUAAGCGAGAGGUAGGCGGAAUUCGUGGUGUAGCGGUGAAAUGCAUAGAUAUCACGCAGAACUCCGAUUGCGAAGGCAGCCUGCUGGACUGUAACUGACGCUGAUGCUCGAAAGUGUGGGUAUCAAACAGGAUUAGAUACCCGUGUAGUC
rnacentral:rRNA from 1 species